AUUGCUGACGGGCCUUAGCACACAAGGCCAACCGAUUGGUUGGUUCUGUGAUGUAAUAUAUUCCCUUUUAUGCUUGGCUUCUGAGCUGA
rnacentral:snoRNA from 1 species